rnacentral:rRNA from 1 species
UGGGGAAUUUUGGACAACGGGCGCAAGCCUGAUCCAGCCAUGCCGCGUGCAGGAUGAAGGCCUUCGGGUUGUAAACUGCUUUUGUACGGAACGAAAAGGUGCCUUCUAAUAAAGGGCGCUCAUGACGGUACCGUAAGAAUAAGCACCGGCUAACUACGUGCCAGCAGCCGCGGUAAUACGUAGGGUGCGAGCGUUAAUCGGAAUUACUGGGCGUAAAGCGUGCGCAGGCGGUUUUGUAAGACAGAGGUGAAAUCCCCGGGCUCAACCUGGGAACUGCCUUUGUGACUGCAAGGCUGGAGUGCGGCAGAGGGUGAUGGAAUUCCGCGUGUAGCAGUGAAAUGCGUAGAUAUGCGGAGGAACACCGAUGGCGAAGGCAAUCCCCUGGGCCUGCACUGACGCUCAUGCACGAAAGCGUGGGGAGCAAACA